rnacentral:lncRNA from 1 species
UAUAAAAUUUAGGAAAACCAAUUCCACCAAAUUCUCCCACUUCACGAAUUCUCUCUCUCCACAAAUGUCCCAAUCCACCGUACCCACUCCCAUCAACCAUAAUUCCGUGUUGAUGAGAGGUCAGAGGAGGGAUUUCAGUGCUAUGGAUCAUUGGGCGGCGACGAUGGAGAUAGUGUUGAAGAUGAGGACUGAACGGAAGAAUGGAAAACCCAAUCCUAAUUGUUCUGCCAUUGUCAUCGCUCAAAAUCUAGGGUUUUAAUUUCUUUUGUUUUCCCAUAUACCAUUUUUCUUUCUUUAGCUAUAGAGUGAGAGAGACAAAUUGUGACUGUCGACCUUGCCGAAGGGAUUUUUCGAUAAGUGUGACGAUCGCACCUUUUUUGGAUAAGAAGUAAGCGAUGCAAAUCCAAUGACUCCGCCACCGCAAACCUCUACUUUUCAAGGUGAAUUUGGGGCGUAACGAGAGAUGAUGCAGAUGAGGAGCAACAAAUUGAAAAAUUUGAAAGAUAAUUUGUGAAAUUGCUGUGGGAAUUGAAAAUGAGUCAAAUGGUGAAGCUAUGGUGAUGUUAUAAUUAGCAUUUUAUCGGGUUGUUGGUUUUAGCAAUGGAGCACAUGAACUAUGUAGUCACUCCUUUCUCUCUCUUUUUUUUCUUCCUUUCCCAUUUUUGUUCUCUGUUCUCUGCUACCCAUUCUGAGCCUGUACCAAAUGGAGGAAAUGGGUCUAAGUGGUUGCUGCAUAUUAGAGCACUAACUCCAAUUUUGCGAAGGAAGCCCCUCAUUUUCUAUUCUAUAAAACAUUUGGUCAAUAACUUUCAAUAAUAAAUAAGUAAAUCCUCAAAUUUCUGUCUUAUGGUAAGGGAUUAGCAAGUGAUACUCUAAACUUGAAAUGGAAGGGAAAUUGUGUGAUGUAUGACUAAUAGAAAUAGUAUGGUUUUUGACAAGGAAAAUUAGUGAAAAUGAUUGAUUAAUUGUAUAAUUUGUCAUCAAUAAAUAUGAUCAUGUAUGUUGUAAUAAAUAAUUUGUAAUUAUUAUGUCUUAACUGUGAUUUUUAUAUGAUUAGGUAUCUUAUAACAUUUGAUAUUUGUAACUAGG